GGGUUUGAGGCUCAGGUUACCUAGGGUGCUUUUCUACUGUCAUGGUGAAAUGGACUCAGUGUUCCCCAGUAGUCUGCUUUUUCUCCAUGUUUUUAACCGUCUCUGUGAAAGAGUUUUAGAGACUCCAUGAGAUAGCUAUGCUGGUGAUGCCUUCUCAGUGCAGUAAAACCCUGGUGGUACUACUUCACCGGGAAGUGGUUUGGUGGUGACUCAAGUUCAGAAGCUGGCAGCUGACAACUCAUAAAAGCUGUCGUGUCCUGUAUCACAGCAAACAUCUGCCGGCGGUAUGGCUCCCAGGGGGGUAAAAGCUCCAACAGAAGUUCAAGGUCCUUUGUGGGGCUGGCUGAGCACAGGGUGCGUAAGCCGGGGCUUCUUCACCUCCAGGCAGAGGGGCUCGCGAGCAGAUCGUGGCUGACCCUCUGUAUGGGAUGGAGACGGGUCAGACCCCGGAGAGACUGCCCAAAGGUCAGCAGCAUCCCAGCCGUGGGAGACGUGGGACACCCGCUGCCUGAGUAACUCGAGAAGGAGUUAGCUAAGCUGCUGUAAGACAGAGAUUUAACGGCGUUCCUUCCCCGGCUUUAGGUAGGCCACUCGGUGUUUAUUGGUUCUGCUCGCAGGACGGGAUAAGCUUGCACGUCGCUGGAGCUCGCACGGAGCCGCUGAGCCCCUUCUUGGCAUUGGCAGCGCUUGGGCUUUUGUGUGCUUUAAAGCUGAGCAUAUGGGAUUUUACACGGGGAAACCUCACGGCAGGACCAUGGUGGAUGCGAGGGAGGCGAGCCUCUGUUCAGACACAUCCCCUCGCAGUUUAUAAAAGCACAGUGCUGAGGAAAAUCCCUGCCCAUCCCUCUGCCAUGCCUGACAUUGCACAGCCGUGUGGAGCACACGGGGUGGCUGUGGGGCUGGAGCAUGGGGAAACAUCCAGGCACCAGGAGAGCUCCCUGCUGCACUUCAGACCACACCGUGGCCUUCUCCAGGGCUCAUGGUGGUGGCAACGCAAUGGUUUUGGGGUGGACACAGCCAGCACAGACCCCCCAGCAUGGCUGGGAGGGGGAUGCCAGUGAGGGGCGGUGUGGUGCUGGGGGAUGAGGAGAAGCCAGCUGGCAGCAGCGUGUGGCAGCACAGCCACUGUGCACGAAGGAAAUGAGUAAAGAGCCUCCAGGACUCACUGAUGGCUCCCACCGCCUGCCUCCGCCUCUUACGAGGUCUUCACUGUGCUGGUUUGGACACAUCCCAUAUCCCACAGACCCUCAUUAUCCUACUUGUGUUCACCGCAGUUCUCCAUAAAUAUUUUAUGAGCAUCCUCUUUGCAAGCCUUUCGCUUGGAUUUGCCCAGUGAAACCGUCUGCACUGAAAGGAGAAGAGAAGAGGGGAAGCGAAUAACAAGAAUGAUCAUGGAGAGGAGCGGGGGGGUGGAGGAGAAAGGAAACCCCCAUCGCUCCUCCGUAACGAGGCUGCCUCAUCUGCACUGGUAUCUGGUGAUGGGAGCACAACUGCAGCCCUUCACCAGGGCUCCUGUGCCAGGGGCUUGCUUCCAGCAGUGCUGGGGUGCCCCCAUCUCCUGCAGGGGGCACAGACCCCCUCACCCCAUGCCAUCCCAUCUGGGAGGCGGGAGGGCGAGGGGGGAGGCACAGCUCCUUCACCCAGCACUGCUGGAAGGGAGCCCCCUUUCCACGCGCCUGCCUUUGUGCUCCACCAGCAUCAGCCAGGGCUGUCAGAAAAGCAAGAAUUCCGUUCAGACAAAAAAAAAAAAAAAAAAAAGACAUUUGGAAAUUGGUUUUCAUCAUCGUUCCAAAGUGAAAGCAGGCUGCUGGUGACCACGAGGCGGGGGGGAGCUGCUGACCCGCUCCCCCUCACAGCCGCCAGCCCCGGGGCUGGUCCCACAUCUCCAGCAGAUGCAGGAGCUCAGCCCAAUCUCGAGCAGUUCCUGGGCUCUCUCCAGAGAGCUUCUGUUACGGGCCCCAUAAAUCUCCCCAGCUGUCCGAUCGCUCACAUCCCUGGCUGGACAGGGUGAGCCGGGGCUGCCAGCGGGGGGCACGGGGCAGGAUCUGACCUCCAGGCCCUGCAUCCACGGCCCCGAGCCCGAGGGCAGCCCUGAGAUGCUUUUUGAGGCCUUUGUUUAGGAGCGAGGAGCGGGACUUCCACCCAUUGCUCUGCGAGAUGCUCAGCAGCCCACGGAGCUGGCUGCAGGGGGAUUUUGCUGCCGAGGUACAUUCCUAAACAAAUAAAUAAAGCAGUUAAAUAAUUUCCUGCCCAAUUGGUAAGGGGAUGAGAUGAGUGACCUAAUCAGCCUCCUCCGCCUGUGAUUCCUGCCGAGCUCUGAUGUGCUUUGCCCCAGCCCUGCAGCACAGAAAGCCCAGCAGUGGGGUUACCCCGCUCACACCACAGCCAUCACAAGAAGCAUCAGGCCGACCUAAUCUCACUUUCCUCAGCUCGUUUUAAUCCUAUUAGGCUCUGGACUUCACCCGGAGCAGCCGAGGCCGUAAAGCAUUUCCGAGCAUCCUUCUCCCUGCUGCAGCUGUCAGGAAAGAGGCCAGGUUGGGAUUCUUGUCAAGGUGCCCGCGGAGCUGCGGUGGGAUCAGCCUGCCCCAGCAGUGCUCCUCUCACGACCCACUGCCGGCUGCCAAACCACACGCUCGGAGCCCAGGCUGUGUAAUCCUGGAGAGAACCAGCCGAGAUUUACUGCUGCUCCCACCGAUGAAGGAUGACCAACACCCUCCGAAGGCUGGGCUGGGCCCCGAUGCCUGGUGGAGUUUCGAUUUCUGCAAGGUGCAAGGUUCGAUUUCUGCCCCCCCGGGAAGGAAUGAGGCACUUCACACCCCAAACCUGGCUGUGCUGAAAUCUGCAGCCCUUGGUGCCCAGGCUGGGGUGCAGGGACGAGCCCACGUAACGUGGUGGAGAAGUUGACUUUCCCCAUCCCAAAUGACAUAAUCUGGGACAAGCCCCCCUUCCCCGUGCUGCUGCCGUGUUUUAGGGUUUCUUGGCUGAGGUUUCUAAGGGGGCUUUCUCUGCUAAGUACCAGCAGGGAUUUUGUGGUCUCUUUGUGCAGAACCCUACAACUGGGGAAAAAAUGACUGAGUAUAUGUGCAGAAGCAGCUUCAAAAACCAAGCAGACCUGAUCUGCUUGCCUUAUGAUCCGUGGGCCAGUGGCAGCCUGGCCAGAGCACAGAUCCACACACAAAAAUAAAUGCAUACAAUAAAGUAAGGGAGCAACGCGCAGGAAAAUAAAACGGGCACACUUCAAAGGUGGACAUUUGUAUUGCCUAUAAAUGAAAACAACCGUGAAGACGUGGCAC